rnacentral:rRNA from 1 species
GACGUAGGGGGCGAGCGUUGUCCGGAUUUACUGGGCGUAAAGAGCGCGCAGGCGGUCGUUCAAGUCGAGUGUGAAAGCCCCCGGCUCAACUGGGGAGGGUCACUUGAUACUGAUCGACUCGAAGGCAGGAGAGGGAAGCGGAAUUCCCGGUGUAGUGGUGAAAUGCGUAGAUAUCGGGAGGAACACCAGUGGCGAAGGCGGCUUCCUGGCCUGUUCUUGACGCUGAGGCGCGAAAGCUAGGGGAGCAAACGGG